rnacentral:rRNA from 1 species
ACGCUCGACACCUACGGGAGCAGCAGUGGGGAAUAUUGCACAAUGGGGGAAACCCUGAUGCAGCGACGCCGCGUGGAGGAAGAAGGUCUUCGGAUUGUAAACUCCUGUUGUUGGGGAAAAAGAGGAUGGUACCCAACAAGGAAGUGACGGCUAACUACGUGCCAGCACGCCGGACGGUAAUCUGAGGGCGGGCGUGGACGAAGGC